CCAGAGGGCCGGGCGGCCGCGGCUCGCGCAAGCGGGGCGAGGAAAGUCCGGGCUCCAUGGAACCACGGUGCCGGGUAACGCCCGGCGGUGCGCCAUAGCCUCGGCGAAGGCGUACCAGGGAUAGUGCCACAGAAAGGAUUCCGCCCGGCUUCGGACGGGUAAGGUCGAAAGGGUGCGGCAAGAGCGCACCGCGGUCCUGGCGACAGGGCCGGCACGGUAAACCCCACCGGGUGCAAGACCGAAUAGGGGCGCCGCAUGAGCCUGGUUCCGGCUCGGCGCCCGGGUUGGUUGCUGGAGCGGCGGGGCAACCCGUCGCCUAGAGGAAUGGCCGCACAGUCACGCUCGCGAGAGCGCGAUGGACAGAACCCGGCUUACAGGCCCUCUGGCGAA
rnacentral:RNase_P_RNA from 1 species